UCGACGUGAAGCUUAACAAGGCCAUCUGGACCAAUGGUAUCCGGAGUGUCCCAAGGCGAGUCCGUGUUAGAAUCUCUCGCAAGAGAAACGAUGAGGAGGACGCCAAGGAGGAGCUCUACUCUCUGGUCACAGUUGCUGAGAUCCCUGCAGAGGGUCUCAAGGGUUUGGGAACCAAGGUUGUUGAGGAUGAGGAGUAAACUUUUCAUUGUUAUCUGUCAGUUAGCGCUUAG
rnacentral:misc_RNA from 1 species